rnacentral:rRNA from 1 species
CCUACGGGUGGCAGCAGUAGGGAAUCUUCCACAAUGGGCGCAAGCCUGAUGGAGCAACACCGCGUGAGUGAAGAAGGGUUUCGGCUCGUAAAGCUCUGUUGUUGGAGAAGAACGAGCGUGAGAGUAACUGUUCACGCAGUGACGGUAUCCAACCAGAAAGUCAAGGCUAACAACGUGCCAGCAGCCGCGGGAAUACGUAGGUCGCAAGCUUUAUCCGGAUUUAUUGGGCGUAAGGCGAGCGCAGGCGGAUGCUUAGGGCGGAUGUGAAAGCCUUCGGCUUAACCGACGAAGUGCAUCGGAAACCGGGCGGCUUGAGUGCAGAAGAGGACAGUGGAACUCCAUGUGUAGCGGUGGAAUGCGUAGAUAUAUGGAAGAACACCAGUGGCGAAGGCGGCUGUCUGGUCUGCAACUGACGCUGAGGCUCGAAAGCAUGGGUAGCGAACAGGAUUAGAUACCCGUGUAGUC